UACGAAGGGGGCUAGCGUUGCUCGGAAUUACUGGGCGUAAAGCGCACGUAGGCGGCUUGUUAAGUCAGGGGUGAAAUCCUGGAGCUCAACUCCAGAACUGCCUUUGAUACUGGCGAGCUUGAGUUCGGGAGAGGUGAGUGGAACUGCGAGUGUAGAGGUGAAAUUCGUAGAUAUCGGGAGGAACACCUGAGGUGAAGACGGGUUGCUGGGCCGACACUGACGCUGAGUGCGCGAAAGCCAGGGGAGCAAACGGG
rnacentral:rRNA from 1 species